UACAGGGGGGGCAAGCGUUGUUCGGAAUUACUGGGCGUAAAGGGCCAGUAGGCGGCCGACUAAGUCCGACGUGAAAUCCCCAGGCUUAACCUGGGAACUGCGUCGGAUACUGGACGGCUUGAAUUCGGGAGAGGGAUGCGGAAUUCCAGGUGUAGCGGUGAAAUGCGUAGAUAUCUGGAGGAAUACCGGUGGCGAAGGCGGCAUCCUGGACCGACAUUGACGCUGAACGGCGAAAGCUAGGGGAGCAAACGGG
rnacentral:rRNA from 1 species